rnacentral:rRNA from 1 species
UACGCAGGUGGCAAGCGUUGUUCGGAUUUACUGGGCGUACAGGGAGCGUAGGCGGUUGGCUAAGCCCUCCGUGAAAUCUCCAGGCUUAACCUGGAAAGUGCAGAGGGGACUGUUCAGCUAGAGGAUGGGAGAGGAGCGCGGAAUUCCCGGUGUAGCGGUGAAAUGCGUAGAGAUCGGGAGGAAGGCCGGUGGCGAAGGCGGCGACCUGGGUCGAGACUGACGCUGAGGCGCGAAAGCGUGGGGAGCAAACAGG